UACGUAGGGGCGAAGCGUUAUCCGGAAUUAUUGGGCGGUAAAGAAGUGCGUAGGUGGUUACCUAAGCGUAAGGUUUAAUCGAGAGGCUCAACCUCUUCUCGCCUUGCGAACUGGGCUACUUGAGUGCAGGAGGGGAAAGCGGAAUUCCUAGUGUAGCGGUGAAAUGCGUAGAUAUUAGGAAGAACACCGGUGGCGAAGGCGGCUUUCUGGACUGUAACUGACACUGAGGCACGAAAGCGUGGGGAGCAAACAGGAUUAGAUACCCCGGUAGUCCCUGAGCGGGCUGG
rnacentral:rRNA from 1 species